CCUACGGGAGGCAGCAGUGGGGAAUAUUGGACAAUGGGGGCAACCCUGAUCCAGCCAUGCCGCGUGUGUGAAGAAGGCCCUCGGGUUGUAAAGCACUUUCAGUGAGGAAGAACGCCUGGUGGUUAAUACCCAUCAGGAAAGACAUCACUCACAGAAGAAGCACCGGCUAACUCCGUGCCAGCAGCCGCGGUAAUACGGAGGGUGCGAGCGUUAAUCGGAAUUACUGGGCGUAAAGCGCGCGUAGGUGGCUUGAUAAGCCGGUUGUGAAAGCCCCGGGUUCAACCUGGGAACGGCAUCCGGAACUGUCAAGCUAGAGUGCAGGAGAGGAAGGUAGAAUUCCCGGUGUAGCGGUGAAAUGCGUAGAGAUCGGGAGGAAUACCAGUGGCGAAGGCGGCCUUCUGGACUGACACUGACACUGAGGUGCGAAAGCGUGGGUAGCAAACAGGAUUAGAUACCCCAGUAGUC
rnacentral:rRNA from 1 species